GAUGGAGGACAAGGAGGCGGGGCUUGCUGAUGAAUAAGAGUAGCCCCUCCCUCGUGUGUGACACAUCCUGCUCAGAGUCAAGGACACAAACAAACACAGAUCCAUCAAGUUGAAGGACAAGUUGCAGUGCGGCUGCUUGCUUGCCGAGAGUCUGGCCCGCUUUUCUCGCAUGAAAACAAAAGACGACAGAAAUAACUUCCCGGCGUGGAAACAACCUUCCCAGUUGGACUUCAGGUGAGAGAAUAAUGGCGAGCGAGUCGGCGGAUUGUUGGCCCGGGAUGAUGAACGACCUCGGGGAGGCGCGGGAGCAGAGAGCACGCUCAUUUGUUAUCGGGCUGUCACAAAUGUAUUUUUAAUGAAUGUGCACCUCGGACCUUCUCCGUGCGGAACCACGCCAGUCCGAGGCCAAGCAAGGACGCCGCACUUCCCGACUUUAGCUGCCAUCCAUGAAACAUAAAUACCAUUCUCCUUCCAGCACUCAGACUCUCCAAGAUAUCCUAAAUGUUGCGGUCAGAAAAAGUACAGUAGAAAGGGGAUUCCUCAUAUUGGUCCUUAUUUACCUGACACGUGAAACGUGACGAUUUAUGAGGUUGCUGGAGCCACGCCGACACACAUCUAAUUCUGUUUCCUACACCAUGCAUGGAUGUAAGUGUUUAAUACUGAAUAUAAGUGCUGUCUGACCUUUUUGCCAACAGUUUUUAAUCAGAUAAGUCACUCAUUUUAAAAUCUAAAAUAAGGACAUUGUUGAAUUUGAAUUAAUCAUGAUUAAUCACAGGUUACUACUGGAUUGCAUCAUUUUAAGUAUACUUAAACACAACGGUCCAAUAUUUGGACACAAAUGCAAUUUUAUUGUCAGAAUGUCUUUUUAUUUAAAUUUUUUAUUUUGCAGAUUAAUCUGAUUUUUGAAUUUGGAUUAAUUAUGAUCACAUGUCGUUUUUUUGCUUUCAUAAUUUAAAUUCAUUUAAAGAAAGACCCCAAUAUGGAUAGAAAUGCAAUUUUAUUGUCAGAAUGUCAACCGGGAACAUUUCCUUAUGUUUUACUUAGAGAAGUCAAACUAUUUAAAAACACAUCUCACUAAUCACGUAUUUGAAAUGGAAUCAAUCGCCAUUAAUCACAGAUUAUUACUUUUGCUUGAUUCAAAAUAACUUUUAAAAAAAAACUACAAUAUUUGGACAUAAAUGCAACCCAGGACAACAAAAUAUUUAACAUGGUGUUGUCGAAUUAUAUAUAUUGGUUUCAAACUAAAUUUGAUUUCAAUACACUGUGCAAUAAAGUGGGGAUCAUUGAAAGUCUUCUCGGUUAUUGAUCCAUGAAUAGAGGUAUUUCUUUUUCCUCAAAUACUGUACGUUGUUCGUAACCCGCAGCUAGCUUAGUUUAGUUAACACUAACAUUCUACUGAACGCUAUGUGUGCAACAGAAUAAAACAGGCUUUGAUUUAAACUUACCAGUGUGAAAAUGCACCGGGUGAUGGCGUUAAAAGUCAUGUUUGAUGGUCUCACAGUGUCUCUUGGCUUUUGCUUCUACGCUAAAAUGAAACAAAUAUCCAGUAAAUCUUUUUUUUUUUUACUAAA